rnacentral:rRNA from 1 species
CCUACGGGCUGCACCAGUGGGGAAUAUUGGACAAUGGGCGAAAGCCUGAUCCAGCAAUGCCGCGUGUGUGAAGAAGGUCUUCGGAUCGUAAAGCACUUUCGACGUGGACGAUGAUGACGGUACCCGUAGAAGAAGCCCCGGCUAACUUCGUGCCAGCAGCCGCGGUAAUACGAAGGGGGCUAGCGUUGCUCGGAAUGACUGGGCGUAAAGGGCGCGUAGGCGGUUUAUGCAGUCAGAUGUGAAAUCCCCGGGCUUAACCUGGGAACUGCAUUUGAGACGCAUAGACUAGAGGUCGAGAGAGGGUUGUGGGAUUCCCAGUGUAGAGGUGAAAUUCGUAGAUAUUGGGAAGAACACCGGUGGCGAAGGCGGCAACCUGGCUCGAUACUGACGCCGAGGCGCGAAGGCGUGGGGGGCAAACAGGAUUAGAUACCCGAGUAGUC